GGUUCGGUCGCAGAGUCUGGUACUGCAAUUGACUUUUAAUCUUUGAGGACGUGGGUUCAAAUCCCACCCGAACCAC
rnacentral:tRNA from 3 species